AUCUUGAGCCAGCCUGGGUUGCUACCUUAUCAAAAGGUGUUGUUUGUCAUGAAUUUUGAACACUUUCAGCAACCUUAAAAUUAUCUUGUCACUGACUAGGAAUUAUAUACAAAAUGUGUUUUGUAUCAUAUCGAUAAUUUAAAAAUCAAUCCACAACCUUUGCUCAGCUCACAGAUUUUAUCUAUGGUUGGGUAUUUGUACUUGGAUGUUUUCCUAGUUACAAUGAUAUCUAGAUGAAGAGAACUAUAUACUAAUCCACCUUCAGGGACAAACUGUUAAGUGACUUUUCAGCUAUUGUAGUGUAAUAUUGUUCCACGCAACACGCAAAACCACAUUUGUGCCUUGCUUAUGUUCCUGGAUAUCAAAUAGUAUGAAACUACUCUAGAAAUGUGUAAGUUUUUAAAAUUAGUUACAAAAUGUGUUAAAUUAUAGACUAUUAACAAUACUUAACCUCUUUGGAAGAAGACCAACAUAUACAUAUCUGGACUAGUGAGCAAAUGUAUGGCAUUUGUUUAACUAUAGUUUUUGUUUCUGCAGACUAUGAACAAUGUAAAUGUUCUAUUUCUUGGAUAGAACGAUAUGUGUGUGUGUGUGUGUGUGUGUGUGUGUGUGUAUUGAAACAAUUCUUUCUUUAUUAUUUUACCCUGUGUUUGUUCUACACUUUCUAAGUUUUUAAAAAGUAUUCAAUUUUAUUGGUAAAUUCAUCGAAAUUUUAGUUAUAGCAAUAUUUAAAAUAUUUUUUAUUUUAUUUUGAAAUAUGGGUAUAUGUGUGUCUAUUAACCAGGAUACAUCAUUGAGAUUCUCUUUUGUUUGAUUGAUUGAUUGACUGAUUGAUUGAUUUUACACUUCAGAUUUUAUUCCCCUCCAGGUGCACCCUCUGACUGUUCCACCCCCCAUAACUCCUCCCCACCGCCCACCCCCCCCAUCCCCAUCUCCAACAGAAUAUCCCUACCCCCCUCCCCACCAGACCUCUAAACUCCCUGGGGCCUCCAGUCUCUUGACGGUUAGAUGCAUCUUCUCUGAACCUAGAUCCAGCAGUCUUCUGCUGUAUGUGUUGGAGGCCUCAUAUCAACUAGUGUUGGCGGUCCAGUGUCUAAGAGAUCUCGGGGGUCUAGGUGAAUUGAGACUGCUGGUCCUCCUACAGGGUCGCCCUCCUCCUCAGCUUCUUCCAGCUUUUCCCUAAUCCAACCACAGGGAUUAUUAGCAGCUUCUGUCCAUUGGUUGGAUGCAAAUAUCUGUAUCUGACUCUCAGCUGCUUGUUGGGUCUUUCAAGAGGAUGGUCACCAUAGAUUCCUUUUUUUGAUCGCUCAAUAACCUCAGUAAUAGUACCAGGCUUUGGGACCUCCCCUUGUGCUGGAUCCCACUUUGGGCCUGUCGCUGGACCUCCUUUUCCUCAUGCUCCUCUCCAUUUCCAUCUUUGAAGUUCUUUCAAACAGGAACAAUUAUGGGUCAGAGUUGUGACUGUGGGAUGGCAACCCCAUCCCUCACUUAAUGCUCUGUCUUUCUGCUUAAGGUGGGCUCUAUAAGUUCCCUCCCACUAUUGUCAGGCAUUUCAUCUAAGUUCCCUCCCUUUGAGUCCUAAGAGUCGCUCACCUCCCAGGUCUCUGGUGCAUUCUGGUGGUUCCCCCAACCUCCUACUUCCCGAGGAUGCCUGUUUCCAUUCCAUCAUUAGAUUCUUGAUCCCACUUGACAUCAAAAUUUGGAAGGGAAAACUGGAAAUGUGAUUCUGAAAAGAUACUAAUGAUGAGUCCUGGAGAGAUGGCUGAGAGUGUGAGAACUCUGUUUCUCCUGUAUAAGACCUAGGCUGGGUCCCUUCACCCACACAGCAGUUCACAACUCUCCUUAACUCCCGUUCCAAGAGUUUCACUGCCCACUUCUGAGACUGAGGGAACUGCAUACAUAUGGUUUAUAUACACAUGUGGGUAAAACACUACUAUACAUUAAAAAAUAGCUGUGGUUAGGGGUAAUUUCUUUAACAUUUCUAGGAGACAAAAUAUCAGAGUAUACUUCCUCUUCUUCUAGCUUUUCCAGUGUUUUCUCUCACUCUACCAUAAUAACCCCUGUCUGUAAGUACUGAAGUUGUAAUAAAUAAACCUUUGAAAACAAACAAACAAACAUACUGAUGAGACAAAAAAAAAAUCAAAAAAAAAAUCAAGGAACCAAAACUAUGGCUCAAUUCUAAAGCUCUCUAGAUAAAAGGUCAAGAUUCUAGGAUGGUUCUAACAAAAGAACUGAGAGAGUAAAGAGAAGUAUCUUUAGUAAACAGAGCAUGAGAAGCCAUGAAGGCUCAUAUGCCAUCACGACAUUAAUCAUUCUUGACACUAGCUGGGGGACACCUUUUUCUUCUGGGUUUUCACAAUGCAACAUCCCUAAAAAAUUUAAAUAAAUAUAUUACCUGUUACUUUAUUGGACACUACAUUGCUAUACUUGGAAUGCUUAAGGAGGAUGAAAGUUAGAGGAGCUCUCCCCGCUAGUGUAAGCAAUGUGCAUCAAAUGUGAUACCAAGAGCACAUUACUUUGCCUAUUAUUUCAAGGUAUAUUGAAAAUUAUUUAAAAGUCAUUUUUCUAUGGUCACUAUCACUGAUUUUUUAUAAUACAUACACACACACACACAUAUAUAUAAUCAUACAUAUGUUUUCAGACAUAGAUUUCCUAGCAUUUCUUUUUUUUUCAUU
rnacentral:lncRNA from 1 species